rnacentral:rRNA from 1 species
UCGGGAAUCUUCGGCAAUGGGCGAAAGCCUGACCGAGCGAUGCCGCGUGCGGGAUGAAGGCCUUCGGGUUGUAAACCGCUGUCGUAGGGGAGAAAGGGUCGUUGAAGAAACGACUUUGAUCUAUCCUAGGAGGAAGUCCGGGCUAAGUUCGUGCCAGCAGCCGCGGUAACACGAACCGGACAAACGUUAUUCGGAAUUACUGGGCUUAAAGGGUGCGUAGGCGGUGCGGUAAGUGCGGUGUGAAAUCCCACGGCUCAACCGUGGAAUUGCGCUGCAUACUGCCGUGCUAGAGGGAGACAGGGGUAAGCGGAACUGAUGGUGGAGCGGUGAAAUGCGUUGAUAUCAUCAGGAACACCGGUGGCGAAAGCGGCUUACUGGGUCUCUUCUGACGCUGAGGCACGAAAGCUAGGGUAGCGAACGGGAUUAGAUACCCAAGUAGUCCCUG